rnacentral:ncRNA from 2 species
UCACGGAAUUCGGGAGAACCCGGCGUCAGCCGGUGCCGAAGGAGCAGCCGCCCCGGCGAACUCUCAGGCAAAAGGACCGUUUUCGUGAA